rnacentral:lncRNA from 1 species
CACAAUAUACGAUAAACGGAUCUAAUUGAAGGAUUUCCAAAAUUCUCAUAAGAUCCAGAGAGGUAGGAUCCGGAGAGGAUCCUCGUUCAUAGGAGUCAAUCCCAGACCCCAACGCUUUAAUGUAAAAUAUGGUGAUAUAUGAUAAAAAAAAUAAAAUAAACAGAAGAGUGUUGCAAAGUUGAAUUAGUCUACCAAAUCACAAUAUCCCGGCAUGGCGAUGGCACCAUACCGCUUUAAUUCUUCUUGCAAGAGAAAUGGAAUGAAGCACCUAUACAAACUACAAUUUAUUUAGUUUCAUAGUGAGCAUGGCGGUUGACUAUCAAACUAGGCAAACUUUUUAAUAGGUACCGAACAUAUAAAAAAGAAUUAUGCCACCGAGUAUCAUCUGUAGCUUGUCAGUACCGCAUUCCUUGCCUCCUGAAGGAGAAGGGGGUAGUAGCCCUGCAUUCUCGGUCACGCUGACGAAACAGUUUGAAAAAAAAACGCCUCGUUUGGCACACCGUAUAGAGCACCGGUUGUUUGGUGCCCUCCUGUAUUAAAUAGUCACCGGAUUAAUUUAGUCAGUCUGCCUAUUUAGUAGGGUAUACACCUGCAUAAUAAACCCUUCCAAAAGGAGUGGAUUAUUAGUCUGGUUCCCUUCCCUCUCUUUCGCACUUCGUUCUCCAAGACACCUCCUCUCACCGACGUUGUUCUCCCCGUCUUCGUUCUUGUCGGCACCGCAAACACCUAUGACCGCCACGUCCUCCUCUGCUACAAGAGCCCCGAGGCCUAGCCGUAGCGCGUCGAAGGCUCUGAGUCCUAGCCAUCACACAUCUUCCUUUGGGCUUCUUCUACAACUGGGGAGAGAUUCUUGACUGAAAUUGUAAGGGAAGAAGAAGAAGGAAGAGGGCGGGACGGAUUUUGGGGUUGCGGCGGAGAGAUCUGGGGAACAAAAGAGAUGAUUUCAUUUCUUCUGCAAUUGGGUCUUGCAAAGAAACAUGGAGUAUUUGCAGAGGUUCUUGACUGAAAUUGCAGGGGAAGAAGAAGAAGAAGGGAGAGAGGGAGGGAGUUUGGGGGGUGCGGCGGAGAGAUGGGGAACAAAAAUGAUGAUUUUUUUUUUUAAAUUUUAAUUUUAUUUUAUUUUAUUUAAAUAAAGGAAUAUUUUGUUUGAAUUCCUCAUAUCCGGUAUAAUACCAAACACACUAUAAAUAAUACGGUUAUUAAUCCGAUACUGCACCAAACGCCCGACUAAUUUAGUUAGUACUAUCUGGUGGCUAUUUAUCCUAUCUGAUAGAAAUAAACAGUACAGUUCGAGCUGCCAAACAAGGCCAUAGCCUUUUAGGAAACGUUACGUUAAAGAUAAUGGAACUAACAGAUUUCUAGAAACAUCAAAUCAAAUAAAGAACUGAAACAUAUGAAGUAGGUCGAGAAACGUUUCACUUACUCUAACGUAAGGUUUUCGUUAUUUGAAAGAGAGGUAGGUGUGGAUCCAGUGAGUCUGUUCCCUGACAAAUCCCUGAGAAGAAUUUGAAAAACAAAAGACAGGUGUUAUCGAAUCCGGCCCUAUAGUGCUAGCUACUACGGUUGUUUAAAUCAUUUAAAUCAUGAAACUCACAGUAGUUCUAGAUUAGGUAAGGAGCCAAGGAAAUCCGGAAUAGGUCCAUUCAAGCUGUUGUUGUGAAAAUCACUAUAAAUCGAAAGAGAGAAAUUCAUUAGAAUCUUAAAAAUUAAUUAUUAGAUCAAUGCAAUUGUUUACGGAACAUUUGAAUAUAUAAUUACAUACAACUCACAUUUCCAGCAGCGCAUCCAUGGAUCCAAAGUCUGGAAUUGGGCCAGACAAGCGUUGGCUGCUGAGAUUCCUGUAUGUUUUUUCAUUUUCGACAUGAUCAGAAGUUCAAUUAUAUGUAUAUAAGUAACUGCAUAUGUAUUGAUCAAAACUGUUUCAUUUCGACAUGAUAAAACUUGGAUUUUACCUGAUAAACUAUACAUUUAGAAAAAUUGGGUAGUAAACAAAGAAAGAUGGAGAAAAGUUUAUAUAUACACUACUUACGAUGAUGUUACACGACGACCGGUAGUAAAAUUAGUACAUUCAUACCAGUUCACUACUAACGAGGCUGAAAGACCAAGGAUCACCAUUAAGUUUAUCUUGCGUAUCAUAUCCUCUUUCCAGUCCUUCAAAUACACUUCCCAGUUUUUCUAGCCCUUCCACUGAAUCAAUUAUGAGGCACAAAAAUAUUAUAUAUCAGAUGAAAUAAUGAAUGUCGAAGAUACAAAUACACAUGUUAAUUGAUUAAAUGAAAUGGGAUUAAGGAGUAGAAAAAUAAUUAACCAUCUUUAGGGUUGGUGAUUAGAGGUCUAGUGAUAGUAUAUAAUUCAUAGGCAUUGACGAGAGGAGGCAAGGAUGAGGACUGAGAAUACUUAUCCAUCCUCUUAUCGAAAGGAGUGGUUGUUUCCUUCCACUCCACAGUAUACAUGAAUUCAACAUCAACUUCUUUAUCCUCAGUAAGGUCAACCAGUGCAUUUGGAUCUGUUCGAAUAUUGACUUCAAUCACGCGUUCUUUGUUAUAAUAGAGAUCAAAAUGAAUGUGCUCAUAAAGGUAGGUCUUGUACUCGCUCGGGUCUUUGCCUUCCUUGUCAACCUUCCCUAUGAAACCCCAAGUGGGCAAGUCAUCAUAAUACAUCUGGAAGUAAUAGUCCUUGUUGACAGCAGAUCUGAACCGGGCUACUUCUUCCUUUGUGAGUGUUUUCUUGCAAGCUACUUCGGUAUCUUUAUGCCUUAGGAACUCAAGUUUGUAAGGGGCACUGACUAAACGAUCCCCAUUCAAUGCUUCACCAAGAGCUUCCCUUUUCUCUUUCACCGCAUCUGCAAUUAGGAUCCAAAUAAUUAGGUAAAUUCAAUUCGUCGGAGAACAUGAACACGUAUUGUGAAGGAAGUAAAUAUGAAAGAAACGAAUCGAUUUGAUACAAACCUGGUGAGCAGAAUGGGAGAUCAAAGUAUCGGUACGUUUCACUGGAAGCACCCAAAAAAUACAAAAAGAACAAAAAUUUAGACCAACAGGAACACCAAAUUUCCACCAGAAUCAAACUAACGUACAAUUUAUUAUCUAGUUUAGCAAAAACAGAGUUAAGCUUCGAAGAACAAUACACAUGCUAUUUCGACGAAAAGAACUUGAUGGCAAAUGACUUAAGAACCCAAAUCAAAUCUUUUAAAAAACAGAUCAAGCUCUGAUAUUUACACAUAGCCAAUGAAAAUUCAAUUUCCAAAUCACAGUGUCUAGCUUAUACCAGUUGAACCAGAACUUGUAAAUCAUGCAAAUUUUCUCAGUAACCAAACAAAUGGGUGGGAAUAAACUCAGAUCCAUAACAAUUAACAGUGAAAUGAACAACAAACCCAGAAGCUGAAUUGAGCUAAGAAAGCAUGGACCUUUGAGAUCGAGCAGGGUGGAGUGUUGGGGUUUUACCUGGGGUUGUGAAACGGGCCGACCUUGUUGGCAUACAGAGGGACAAAAUCUCCUUCCUUGUACCGAUGAUCGGACCCGUCGGACCUGACUAGAUCCGCACCGGACAGAAUUAGCAAGGCGAUGAUGCAGUGUACUCCCACCGCCAUGGUCUUCCCCAUUCUCUCUCUCUCUAAUCUCUGGAAAGACAAGACAACCUUGUUCAGUAUAUAUAUUUGAUUUGAUUUCCUGGGUCUGGUUUGGGUCUUUGGCUUAUGUAUUUAUUUUUGGUUUAAUGAAAUAUUAAUGUUGUCAUUUAAUCAACGGAACUUUAACGAAAAGCACCCGUACUGUUCAUUUUAACGAAAAAUCACAUUUUUACACUAAAAAAUCAAUCUUGUUACUAUUCACUUUACCUUUUAUUUUGUCCUUAUCAUUAAAACUCAAAGUUUUCAAGCCAUUUUCAUUAGUUUUCCUUUUAAUUAAUCAAAUGUGUUAAGAUUUAUAGACUUGGAAUUUUUUUUCUAUAUUGUAUGCUUAUUUACUAACAAAAUUAGAAGGCAGAGAAUUAAUAAUCACAUAUUAUUUUGUACACUUAAUCUGUGUACAAUAUUUGUUCUAUUUAUUCAACUUGACAAUCAUAAAUAGAAAAGAACAUGCAAAAAGAAAAAGUUACCAAAAAAAACACGUUUUUAAUAUUAUAAUUUGUAACCAAAUGCUUGAAAAUUAUGAAACAUAUCAAUUGCAGGCUUGUGGUGACAAGGUUGUCUUUGACAUGAAAUUAAGAAAAUGUAACAUUUUCUUUUGUAUCUUCUCUGAUUUAUAACGUCUCUCAUUUAAAGCACGUAAUUGUAAUAAACAUGUUUGUUUUGAUUUUUUUUCUUGCACGCACAAAAUAAAGAAAAUUUUCACUUACACAAUGUAAUUAGUAAUUUAAUACUUAAAAAAUUAUGUAAUUAGUGGCGUGGCGGUCAGAACCUUCAACUUCAACUUAGUGUAUUAAUAUCGAUAGGAAAAAAUUAUAAACUGAAUUGAAUUGAAAUUAUUGAAUCACAAUACCGGUAAAUAAACAUUUCAUUAAUAUUCAAACAAAAUAAUUAUUAGUUAAUGUGGAAAUAAUUUGUUUUGUUUUAAUGUGAAACAAAAAAUAGGUGAACAAAGGUGACGGAGACGGGGGUGCCUCACCACGUCGUGAGAUGUUUGAUGCCUUAUCGACGCUUUGGUACCUACCUUAUGCCGUAGGGUGCGUCUCACGCUUCUCUUUUUCCAUUUCUUCUUUCUUUCUCUGUCUACGUGGUGGCACGUGAUUGGGGGGCUUUGUAGGAGUGAGGAAUCUGGUGGUUUGGUGGGCAACGCCUUGGGAUACACACACAUAUGUGAAAUGAACAGUGUUGAUACUCAUCGUUUUGUAAACCAAAAAGGACAUUAUUAUUUGGACAAGGAUGGUCUGCCCUUCUUGUUCCUGUAUCUUUCUGUAUCCUCCUGUUUUGUACGAUCACGGUUAAGCCAUGUCAACAUUUUAUAUUGUUUUUUUUAUAAAAAUAAUAAGGAAAAAAAAUAAAUAGUAAUAUAAAAUAUUAACGUGAUUUAACCGUGACCACACAAACAAAGGACAUGGAAAGACACGAGAACAGGGCAGACAAUCCUUGUACUUAUUAUUUUUCGAAUUCAUUGCUCUUCUUCCUCUUCCUCCAGAUCUGCGCUUUAAUUAAUGUCUUGUACUACAAGGCGAAGAAAUAGGAUUGUGUGGUGGUGCUGCUUCUGCUAUCUCAUCUGCGCUUUAAUGUCUUGUACAAAAAGGUGUACGUACGGUCUCCAUCUUAAAUGCGUUUCAGAAAUGAAACCUUACUCCUACUUUUUCUGUUUCCACAAAGUUUAUACUGUUCAUGAACAGCGAACCAAUGUCUGUAUUUUGCUUUUCUUUUAUUAAUUUAAUUUACUCACUUUUAUGAAGGUGCUGUAGGAGGCUUGAGAGUCUCGAGACAUGUCGAUGAGACCGACAGCGGAGAAGAAACAAAUAACAACAUCAUCAGCUUCAUCAAAUCCUCCUCCUCCUCCUUCAGUUAAGUCGUCGGCUCCUCCAAGUCCAAGAAGUAGUUCAAGCAGCAGCAACAAGUCCAUCAUGAAUCGGAAACCCCCAUGGCUCUUGCCCAUCCUUGACGGUAGGAACAUUUUCAUUUGAAUCAUUUUUCUUCUCCCUUCAACUUUUACUCAUAGACCUGGAGAACAACUUGCAUAAAAAGGGACCAUCAUUUGGCGUUUAGUUGAAUAAUACAAUGUUGCAUGAAAAUAAUUUACAAAUGAAAAUGUUGUAUUAUUGAAUUAAAAUGCAUACAAAUUCAUAUCAUUUAAGCCAUUCUCUAUAAUUCUCUUUUAGAGAAAACUAAUGAAAAUGACUUGAAAACUUUAUGUUUUAACGAAAAUUACAAAUAAAUGAUGAAAUGAAUAGUACCAGAAUUGACUUUUUAAUGUAAAAAAAUAAUUUUUUGUUGUCAAAAUAAACAGUAUCGUAAGUUUUUCAUUAAAAUUAUAUUCUUUUUAUCUUUGUUUUGGUGCACGCAUGAUUGAAUUGAACGACGUACUUGUGAUCUUGACCAAUCUACUUUAGUUUGAUUAUGGAUGAAAAGUUAAUGGAAAAGCUUAGGAGGGUUUUCGUGCAAGCACAUGUGAUGAUGGGAUGUGACAACUAACUAGGUAAACAUACGUAGCUUGGAGUUUACCAUCUUUGUCUGUUUGUCUGUCCAUCUUCCUUUGUGUUUGAAUUUCAAAACUCCAUCUGAUGAGUGGUGAGUAGUCUAGUCAGUAAGUAGUCUAGUCGGAAGAUAAAAAGGCCAUUGGCGUGUAAAAGUAUAUAAUUGAUUUUGUUUGAUAUUUAUUCGAGGCAGGAAGGAAGGCACCGACCUCUCUCUUUCAGAGUAACUCCAGCGUGGGCUGGUGCUCUAGGGAAAGGCGAUCAAAUAGGGCCAGAUUGCCCGAUUGAACUGCUCCACCGUGUGGCAGUCCGAGGGACAGGCUGGGUCGGAGCUGCGGGCCUAUGAGGAGUUGCCAGCCCGAAAGCAUGGGUGGAUAUGACGCAAGGGCUGAUGUCAUCCUAGUGUCAGCCUUAUUUUAUAUAUUUUUCUAUCAGGCGCAUGAGCCUCACCCGCACGUAGGGGCGCGUCAGCCGACAGAUUUUCAGAGGAUGGGCCCGCGUCACAGUCUGCCGAGGUUACCGUUGGGAAGCCAUGUGGCUUCCCACAGUCCGCUCGAUCUCAAUGGCUCUUUAAAUUGGACCGUCCGAUUUGCAAUGGUAAUAAAAAUAAAAAUAAAUCUUAUUUAAUAUCAACAGUUGGAUCUGAGAUCAACGGUUGAUAUUAUUCUGCUUUAUAAAUUUAAAAAUAAAAAAUAGAUUUAAAAUUAUGAAAAGUUACCAUUGUGCCACGUGGUACAAUCUGGAGUGUUGGAAUUCAAAUUUUUUAAAAUCCAACGGUAGAGAUUAAUUAGUUGAAUAAAAAUUUAAAAAAAAUUGUAAAAAAUCUGAAAAAUUUAAAAAAAAAAUUGUUUUUACUUUUCUAUAAAUACCUUCUCAUUAUCAUCUACCUUACACCACAAUUUCAUAUUUUAUCUACCCCAUUUGGCACAUUUGGGAGGGCUUCCACGAUGUAUUUUUCACUCUCUUCUUUCUUGGGAAUCAAAAACCUACGAGGAAAAAGGACGUUCGGAGGAAUAACAUUAGAAUGAAAUGAAAUUGGGACGUCUUUACUUGUGGUGGGUGGUUUAGAGGGCUUAAGGGGCUGCGACAAGGGUUGUUCUACCCUUUCCGUGUGUAUGUCUUCUUCCUCCUCCUCAAUCAGCAGCUCCUCAUCCACUUCUAGGCUAUGUUGGAUGUUUUUAGGUUAGCUCCAACCUCCAUAGCACUUCUCAAAGUGAUAGCAUCAUGGAUUUCAAAAUCUUCCUUCGAAUUUUCAAUAGUUAAGUUGGGGAGUUCACUUUGCUUUUGAAUUUGUGCCAUGAACUCCAUAAUCUGCCCAGUUUGCUUCUCUAAUUCACUCGUCUUCUUGGCUUGAUUUUGUAUCUUUUUGUUUUGAUUUUCUACUUUCUGAUUCAAAGAGGUGAGUAACUUAUUAAACAUAUCAUCAUCCAAAGACGUACCUGAAUUGAAUUGGGCAGAUUGUUGUGGUGACUGUGACGGUUCAUAUGGCCAGUGAUAGAACUUCUCUGAUGGCGGCAGAUAUUCUUCUUGUUGUGAGCCAUGCACCAAAGAGUUUAAUUCAUUAAGAAUUUGAUUGUAAUCUAUUGACGAGUCUGAGUUUGAUUGGGCAUAUUGUAUAUGAGGUUGUGGUGGCUGCGAUGGUUCAUAUGGCCAGUGAUAGAACUCCUUUUCUUGCUGCCAAUAUCCAUCUUGUUGGAAUUGUUGCGGUUCUCCACACAUGUAAUCUGAAUAAUCUCUCUAAUCCGAAUUGUAAGCGUUGGAAAAUAUGUUGUCCCCUGAUUAGCUAUAACCUCGGUAACCCCAAGCAUCUUCAUUCGUAGCGAAUUGAGAACAUUGAUGAGUUGGAUAUCCUUGCCCAUAGGACACACCAUAUGUAGGGACACUUUGCAUUGUGGUCCUUUCGGCAUAUUGUGACAAUUGAGAAGUAAGUUUCGCCAAUUGAGCUUGAAUAGUAGCAAAAUUCAUGUCUUACUUCUCUAGUACUUGAAAUCAAGGAAACAAAACUAAAUCAAAUAUCAUAAGUAAAAAUAAGAGACACAUAUAGAAACAAAGUCAGUAACUAAAACAAAAAAACAUGAAAAUAAACAAAAAGAAAUAACAAGGGGUUAGCAAAAUUGCUAAUCCCCGGCAACGGCGCCAAAAUUUGAUGCGAUGAAAGUUAAGCACUCAAAUUAAACCCUCUUUUGACAAUUGUAGUAUAUGUAUAAGUAAGGAUCGUUCUGGACUAGGGAUUAGGAGGGAUUGCUAAUCUAAACUAAUCUGACUUACAAAAAGAAACUUAAAAACACUUAACUAGAUUCUAUAGACUCAAAACACUUAAAAACACAAACUAAAACAAAUUCUAACUAAUUAGACACACUAAAGUAAAGGGGAUUGGGUUUUGGACGAAAAUAAAGUAAAACAAAACAGAAACUAGAACUAAACAGAUUUGCACGAAAUUGGUUGUUUUGGAUGGAUUAGUUAGAGGUCCGUUCUUCACACAUGACACGCUUGUACAUGAAUCGAUUUCCAAUUGCUUUUCAAUAAACUAUUAUGCUCAACACCCCAGAUUAACCGUGAUGCACAAAUUAACCCUCAGAUUUUCCUUUACUCAUUGAAUUGGAUGAAUGCAUGCGACAGCCCAAAUCAUUCUCUAAAAGUCCCCUAUAUGAAUGCAUAAUAGAGAUACAAUCAGAGAUCAUUACGUUCAAUGAAAAUCAUAAGUGUUGACGAGACAAUUAUAACUAUGAAUGCAUGAUACAAUUGCCAAGAAUUCAAUUAACGCGAUUGUGAUAAACAACCUUCACUACUCAUGAAUAUAAACUUGUAACGAUUAGGUGAAACUCAUUUAUAUUCUAGCAUCUAAUUCAUGCAUGAAAAUUAAGUAUGCAUCCUUAAUAAACAUACAAGAAUCAGUUGUGAAUAAAAUAGAUAAUUGAAUUGCAAUCACAACUUAUCAAAUAACAAUUGGAAGAAAUCAAUUCAUAUCUCAAGCAUGUUCAUGGCUUCAAACUUUCCCCUAACUAAAUAGGGGUUUAGCCACUCAUAAUAGCAACAAAAUCAGAAAAUGAAUUUAACAUUGGAAACAAAAGAAAGAAAACACCUAAACGCUCCAACGAUCCAAGUUGACAGCACGCACGUCCAAACACUUUCUUUUCCUUCCUUUGCUACGGCACAAGGUGUUGGUGAGUGUUUGAAUGUUUGUUUGUAUGGAGGAAUGGAUGUAAAUAUGAAUGGAUGUGUUUGGAUGAAGGUUGUAUUGAAAUAUGAGUGAAUGAUCUAAAAAAAUAUCAACUCCAUUUAUGUUACACACACUUCCUUUUAUAGAGGAAGUGCAAGGCAAAACAUGGGUAAAAUUGAGUGGUGUUGAAAUGAUUCAAAGGUGAAAGUGGAGUAAUGAUGCAAAGCAUGGGUAAAAUAGAGUGGUGAUGAAAUGAUUCAAAGUAAUGAUGCAUGAAAUCUGAAAUGAUGGAGGGAACAAGGAAUGGUGUAGCAAUUAAGUGCAAGGAGGGAACAUGGAUGAUGAUAAGGUAAUCUUGACUCAUGUUUCUUCUUUGGUUGCUGAGCUCUUUGUCAUUUUACAUUAAUUCUUCUUUAUUUUUAACACAUUCCAAGCCUCUUUAGUCUUCAAUUUCGUCCAUCCACCUUGCUCCAUGCAUGUGCUAUCCAUUCCAAGUCCAAAACUGCUCCAAAAUGCACCAAAAUGUACCUUAUUGCUUUAUAAGGCCUAUAGAUCUACAAACACACGAAAAUAGCUUAAAAUACAUAAUUAACUAAGAAAUAACAACAUAAAUGCAUGAGAACAAGCUAACUCAAUCGCAUAAAUAUGCUCAUAUCACUCAUAUGUAAAUAUCAGAAAUUCCAGCCAUACACAUUGGCGAUACCAACAUCAGAAAAUUUUCGCCAUAUUUAUCAUUAGCAAAACAAAUAUUAUAUUUUCCAGCCGUAACCUUCAUUGGCAAAAUAAAUAUCAGAAUUUCAAAUCAAACCAUCAAAACUGGCAAAUCAAAUAUCAGAAAUUUCGGCCAAAAUCAUUGGAAUUUCAAAUCACAACUACUCACCACUAUAUAUUAAACAAAUCAUAGCCUCGGGUUGUGAUUUCAUUCCCAUUCAUAACAUCAUCAUUUCUUCAUAAAUAAUAGUUUCCAACCAUAAUUAUCAUGGCCAUACAAUUUUAAAAUUUUUAGCCAUAAUCAUUAUUGGCAAAACAAUGAUUUCAUCACCUUUUUCUUUUAUCUCCAUAAGUAACUAGUAGACUGGAAAAAAUUGUAAUAUACCUGGCCAAUACACAUCACACAUUUAUCACUUCAAUAAUUCAUUCUUGCAGCUCACACAUGGAGCUUCUCCCUGGAAACAUUGGGUCUUUGUGCCCACUCAUCCAUUGCUCACAUUCCACGGCCUUUUCGCCCCGAAUCAAUAUUUCUCAAUGGCACAGGUACAAUACGACUUUUCCAUCUACUUGUCACAAUUUCACAAUCAUCUUAAUGUUCGAAAUUUUCAUAACGUAUAACACAAUAUCAACCAAAUUCAAGAUUAAUUCGAGACUUUACUCAAACAUUCAUCUUGGAAGCUAUACCAUGAAAUAUGAUAUUUUAAAAUUUUUCUUCUCCCAUUCAAUCAUACGAACACAACCAUUUCACAAUCAUCCAUAUCCAUGAUUUAUAUGAAAGGCAGUCUAACUACUAUUUGAAGUAAUAAUGAUGCAUCUAAAUUUCAUAUCACAUUUUCUAAGAUUAAAUAGAAAUUAACUGAACCGCUUAUUCUACGUACUAUCAACAUUCAUCGACAGAAACUCUGCUUCGGAAUAAGUUAGCACAAUAGAUGAGCUCAACAUAUCGAUACCAACCAAGAGCAAUGUCACAUAAGCAACACAAGGCUUCAAACCAACAAGAUCAAACGGUUAAGUCGCAUCCCGUUAAAGUUACACAUUACGUUACCCCAAACACCGUUGCAAGCCCAUCAAUGAAUUUCACGUUUAGUCGAACCCUGUAACUCUUAUUAAAUUCCUUCAUCCUACCAGUACAAGAAUAUAUCUACUUUAAAUUUUGUUAUUCAAUCAAAUAUCAUGCCAUCAAUCACAAGAACUCAAACCACUUAAUAUAAAAUUAUAAGACUAAGAUGGCAUAGUUCAACCGAAGUCUACACUUUUUAAGUUUCCAAACCCCUCAUGGCUAUCUAACAAAAGAAAUACAAAAUUGCAUAAACACUUCAUGGAAUUCGACAUGCGUGAAUCAUUAGAUUUCAGGGCUACAUAACAAACCACACGAUAUUCAAGAUUUCCAUUUCAUCAAUCAUAUAAAUCACUAUGGUUCAACAUGAUACCUUAAUCCAUAGCAUGUAACGUAUCAAAGAACCAAUGAAGCAUAGUAUUAUUCUCAAGCCACGUUGACCUACUAAUCUAUUCAUAAUAAUAACAUUCACAUCCCACAUCAUUCCACAAUCACUUCAAUUAAUCAUUUCCAUGAAUCAAAGACGAACGAUAUUAACGUCUAACUACGUUAAUCAAUCAAUGAAAUAACAUAUCAUUUCAUGAAUCAACGAUACACAAUUUUAACUUUUAACUAUGUUAGGCAAUCAAUAACAUGGUAAAUCCAAUUUAUAUUCACAAGGUCUAUUGUGGGUAAUUCUCAUUCACUCGAAUCUAGGGUUCUAGAUUAACUUUAUGGAAAUGAGCAAGAGCAAGGAUUCUGGACCACUCAAUGAAACUAAAAUACCAAGCUGCUUCUAGUAAUCUACCCAGACCUGUCAUAUGUACAAUCAUGCCUACAUCAAGGAGAUGGCACACUGGGCAAAUCAGACACUCGGGUAAGCUACGAAGCUCGAGUGAGUGACAAUAAUACAAGUAUGUGAUAUUCAAUUAAAACAGACCAUCAAUCACAAUCUAUAAACAUCAAAUAUAGAAUCAGGCUUUAUGGAAUCAUAAUCAAGUCGCUGAAAACUCCGUAGGAGUCACCCAGACAUCCAACGGUUUUUCUAAUUCAAACCACAAGAUUCUUAAAAACCAUUGUUCAUAUGUACAUUAAAAACUAGGGCUAGAGGAACGCAGUUCGGCCGAAGCCUACAUAUGUAACCAAACAGGAAGUGGCCCCCUAUCGCGGAUUAACCAAGCAGAACCACCCAUGCAGUAACCAAGUAGGCAGUGACCCCCUAUCGCGGAUUAACCAAGUGAGCCACUCCUACGCAUCUGUUAGGCAAUGAUCACUCUUAAGUGUGUGUGUGUAUGGCCAUACCAAAGAUAUAAGGAUCGCCUAUCACGGAUUAACCAAGCACGAUCCAUAGAAAAUAUGGUCCCCUAUCGCGGAUUAACCAAGCAGGACCAAGAUAACUAAGUAGGUAGUGACCCCCUAUCGCGGAUUAACCAAGCAGAGUCACACCUACGAAACUGUUAGGCCGUGAUCACCUAUCACGGAUUAACCAAGCAUGAUCACUCCUAAAGUAUGUAUGACCAUAAGAAUCGCCUAUCGUAAUGCAUCUUGCUAUUUAUUGUUUAAGCCUCACAUACUUGUGACUUUAAUAUCUGUAAUUUAAAAAAUAUAGACUAAAUAUACAUUUUAACAUCUCUAUAUUUUCACUUAUUUUUUUUUUACAUUUCGACUUAAAUAUUCUACUAAAUAUACACUUGUUGCUCGAUAAAUCGUAAAUCUACUUCCAAAUACAUUAUAAAGAUUUCCUUACUGCUCACGGAAAAUAUUUCAAGAAAAUAAAAAAUUUACAUUUUUUAAAGAAAAACGUGGAUGCUCACGGUUUUUAGUCGGUUUUGCAAAUUCGUACAUAAAUCACCGUUCAAUCUAUUUAUUUUCACAUUCUCCUUCUUGUUGGUGUAAACCUGUUUGGCAUUAUUUUGGACAUCACUACUAUUUUCUUCACUUAUUUUUAAUUUUUAGUUUAAAUAUUCUAUUAAAAAUACAGUUGUGGCAUAAAUCGUAAAAUCAAUUCCAAAUGCCUUACAAAAUUUCACUUAAUGCUCAAGAAAAUUAUACUGCAAAAAAUAAAGGAUUUGUAUUUUCACAACAUAUGUGAGUUUACACACACUCACGAUUUUUAGUCAGUUUGUAAACUCUUGCUAUAAUCAUCAUUAAAUAUAGUUGUUUUCGCCUUACUGAAACAUUUUUAAAUUAACUUAAAUCUUUCUCUUUAUAUUCUUGAGGGAGAAAACCCAUGGUUAGUAAUGGAGACACAUGGCACAGUUUUGGAGGAGGAUAAAGGUCGCAUUUGAUUAGGAGAAGUGAGCAAAACGGCUUCUUAUUACGGUAAUGUUAGAGAGACAAAAUUUCUAAAUUAAAUGACAUAAGAAUUGAUGAUUGGAUUAUUACUUAAGCGUUGAUAAACAUGCUCCUUUCUUAUUGGUGACAUAUCAUUUAGUUUGUAAAUUUUAUCUACAAAAUUUAGUCUCUCUAACAUUACCUAAAAAAAAUAUUGCGACUAAUACUAUUGGGUCAUUGUGUUUAGUAGCAAUAUUUUCAUUUUGGAUAAUGUUAGGGAAACUAAAUUUGUAGACUAAAUUUACAGACUAAAUGAUUUGUCACCAAUAAAAUGAGUACGUUUAUCAACGUUUAAGUAAUAAUCCAAUCAUCAACUUCCAUGUCAUUUAGUUUACAAAAUUUAGUCUACAAAUUUAGUCUUUGACUCUCCGUAGCAUUAGCUUUUUUUUUUUUUUUUAAGAAUGAGGAUCCUCUUUGUGAGGAUUCGGGGUUCCUUCAAUCGUGUCCGUUGAUCGUAUAUCGUACAGUCAGUUUUCGUCAAGUAAUAUUCAUAUUUAAUUUUAAAUAAAAAAAUUUAUAAUAAUUUCUAACCGCACGAUAUAUGAUGAACAAAUGUGAUUAGAAAAUUCUCAAGAUCCUCAUAUGAUCCAAAAAGGUAGGAUCCGGAGAGGAUCCUCCAAUUUUAGUCGACCCAGAAAAAAGUAGUAAAGGGCGUUUCCGCAGCAUCUAGUGGAUCAGCUUCAAAGGCGGAUUGAAUCGGUAAGAGUCAAUCCCAGACCUCAACGCCUUAAUGUAAAAUAUGGUGGUAUAUGAUAAAAAAUAAAAGAAACAGAACAGUGUUGCAAAGUUGAAAUAGUCUACCAAAUCAAAAUAUCCCGGCAUAGCACUAUACCGCUUUUAUUCUUGCAAGAGAAAUGGAAUGAAGCACUUAUAUAGAUUACUAUUUAUUUAGUUUCAUAGUGAACAUGGCGGUUGACUAUCAAACUUGGCAAACAUUUUAAAAGUUACUGAACAUAUAAGAAAGAAUUAUGCCACCGAGUAUCAUCUGUAGCUUGUCAGUACUGCAUUCCUUGCCUCCUGAAGGAGAAGGGGGUG